UGGGGAUACACAGCUAUGUGCUGUCAUCA
rnacentral:piRNA from 1 species